CUUUUUUCUCAUUUUCAUAGUUCCUCAUUUCUUAGGGCUUUCGCCGAAUAAAAUGUCUUCCCCGAAAUUUCUGGAGAUAAACUCUUCCGUCAAAGAUUUUUACAAGCAGAGAAGUUCACGACAUUAUGAUCCCGGAAAGCGUUUGAAUCGGAGUGGAAUGAUCAUCAAGUAGUAGAUAUGGAGAAAUCAUCAUUGACAGAUUGAAGAUAAGCGUGAAUCUUUGAGUUGAACGGCUUAAGAAGUGGAAACAUAAAACAGAUAAGUUCUCCUACUUCUUUAUGUCUUUAUGUUUUUGUUUUUUUAGUUUUAUCAAACUCCAAAAAGAUCAUAGGCAGACACUUAUCUAAUAGUAUUUCUGCCAGAUUCUUAUUUUGGGGAACAUUGUCCUGAAUCCCUGUUGCAGUGAAAGCUUAGUCCCAAAGAAAAUUUAAAUCCAUCUCCCUAGAUACUGUUGGUUGGUAGUGCAUGAAUGUCUUAAGAUAUGUUUGGGGAUGGAAAGUAAAACACACCUUAGUACCCACAGCUUUAACAAAACAACCAUCGGCUUAAAAGAAAUGUAUUUAGACAGAAAACGGCUAUGUCUAUAGCUAUGAAAAUUGAUGGAUGGAUAAACGACCAUCAGCUUACAAAAUAGUCUUAAGACAAAGGCUAUGCUAUGAGAGUUGGUUUUGUACUUGUUGGAUGGAAAAUAACGACCACAAGUCAUGAAAACUAAGUGUCCCGAGUCCCUGUUGCGUUAAAGCUUAGUCCCAACGGAAUUUUAAAUCCAUCUCCUUAGAAAGUGUUGGUUGGUAGUGAAUGUAUUUGGGGAUGGAAAGUAAACACACACCUUAGUAGUACCCAUGGCUUUACAAAACACAACCAUCGGCUUUAGAAAAAAAAAGAGUUCUUUAGAUAGAAAACGGCUAUUUAUAUAGCUAUGAAAAUUGAUGGAUGGAUAAACGACCAUCAGCUUACAAAAUAGUCUUAAGACAAAGGCUAUGAGUUGGUUUUGUAGUUGUUGGAUGGAAAAUAACACACACCUUAGUAGUACCCACGGCUUUACAAAAUACAACCAUCGGCUUAAGAAAAAAAAAGAGUUCUUUAGACAGAAAAUGGCUAUUUCUAUAGCUAUGAAACUUGAUGGAUGGAUAAACGACCAUCAGCUUACAAAAUAGUCCUAAGACAAAGGCUAUGAGUUGGUUUUGUACUUGUUGGAUGGAAAACAACGACCAUGAGCCAUGAAAACUAACUGUCCGAGUCCCGGUUGCGUGAACUUGUUGGAUGGAAAAUAACGACCACAAGUCAUGAAAACUAAUUGUCCCGAGUCCCGUUGGUAUUGUACGGUUUGAGAGAAGUCUUCAGACAAAGACUCCUAACUCUAAACCAGGUCCAUUGCUUAACCACAGCUCUAUGAGCAAACGAUAUUUAAGGAUGCAAAGUGUGAGAAAAUUUAGUACCAACGGCUUAUUAAAAGACAAGUCUUUAGACAGUGAGGUUGUGAAUGAAAAUGUCUUCAUCACGUACGUUAGUACCCACGGCUUAUGAACAAGCUUUUAGACAGAGUUUGUAAAACUACCAACGGCUUAAAGACAAGCUUUUAGACAGAGAAUGUGAUCGUAAUAAAGUCUUUAGACAGAGACUAUUCAUCACAUUAGUACCCACGGGUUGCAAGAAAGUCUUUUGAUAAAGACAUUGUAAAACUACCACUGGCUUAAAAAAGACAACUGUUUAGACAGAGAAUGUGAUUGUAAAAAAGUCUUCAGACAGAGACUGUAUUCAUCACAUAGUACCCACGGCUUCAAGUGAUUGAAUCUGUUUUUGAAUACAUCAUCGGAUUUGUACCCACGGCUUGCAAAAAAGGUCUUCAAGCAAAGACUGUUUUUGAAUACAUCAUCAGAUUUCUACCCACGGCUUUGAAAAAAAAAGUUAUAGACAAAGGCCAUGAGAUGUCAUAAUGGCUUUAAAGAAUUAUCAACCGUUACUUUCUUUUUUUACUACAAGUUAUCAAUUUUCUCUAUCUCUGAACUUUGUUUUUUCUUUCCAGGUGAAACCGAGUCAUGUUCUUUUAGCUGUCACUCUUAAAACUUCAGUUAUCAAAGUGUUAAGUCAAGGGAUAUCGAUCUUUCAGAGCAUCAAGAUGCUGCUAAAGGUUGCAACAUGGACGACACAUAUGAAGUCGAGAAUCCUUGUAGUGGAGAUGCAGAUUGACAGAAGGGUGCAGCCGAGCCAGCUCCUGCUACAGCAGGUACUUAAGCACCGUUUAGGAGAAACAUACAUGAAGUGAACUAGUUACACUUGUUUAGGUAUGGGCUUCACAAACUGUUCAUAUCCUCAUUGACGCUUGUUGAGGUAUAUGUUUACCUUCACUUUUUCUCUUACAAAUUAAUAUUAUUAUGUAUGACUAUAAACUAAGUUAAGUUAAUUUUGCGUACAGGUCAAGAAAUUGGAAAACUCCAUUUUAAAAUUAUAUAUAUGUUUUAUUAAGCUAGCUUGAAAACGUUUCUCUCACUGAUCUAGCAUCCAUGAGAUUCUAUACACUGACUGCUAACAAAUCCACUGAUGAGCAAGUAGAUUCUUUUUUAAUAUUGGAACAUUA